UGCGGUUAAAAAGCUCGUAGUCGAAUUUGUGUCCCGCGCCGCCGGUUCAUCGCUCGCGGUGUUUAACUGGCGUGUCCGCGGGACGUCCUGCCGGUGGGCUCAGCCUCCUCCUCUCUGGGGUGGGGGCGGCCCAACUUCAAAUCCCACCGCGGUGCUCUUUGCCGAGUGUCGAGGUGGGCCGGCACGUUUACUUUGAACAAAUUAGAGUGCUUAAAGCAGGCUAAAACUUCGCCUGAAUACUGUGUGCAUGGAAUAAUGGAAUAGGACCUCGGUUCUAUUUUGUUGGUUUUCGGAACUCCGAGGUAAUGAUUAAUAGGAACGGAUGGGGGCAUUCGUAUUGCGACGUUAGAGGUGAAAUUCUUGGAUCGUCGCAAGACGGACAGAAGCGAAAGCAUUUGCCAAAAACGCUUUCAUUGAUCAAGAACGAAAGUUAGAGGUUCGAAGGCGAUCAGAUACCGCCCUAGUUCUAACCAUAAACGAUGCCAGCUAGCGAUCCGCCGACGUUCCUCCGAUGACUCGGCGGGCAGCUUCCGGGAAACCAAAGCUUUUGGGUUCCGGGGGAAGUAUGGUUGCAAAGCUGAAACUUAAAGGAAUUGACGGAAGGGCACCACCAGGAGUGGAGCCUGCGGCUUAAUUUGACUCAACACGGGAAACCUCACCAGGCCCGGACACCGGAAGGAUUGACAGAUUGACAGCUCUUUCUUGAUUCGGUGGGUGGUGGUGCAUGGCCGUUCUUAGUUGGUGGAGCGAUUUGUCUGGUUAAUUC
rnacentral:rRNA from 1 species